AACGAACGCUGGCGGCAUGCCUAACACAUGCAAGUCGAACGAGAUCUUCGGGUCUAGUGGCGCACGGGUGCGUAACGCGUGGGAAUCUGCCCUUUGGUUCGGAGUAACAGUUGGAAACGACUGCUAAUACCGGAUGAUGACGAAAGUCCAAAGAUUUAUCGCCAGAGGAUGAGCCCGCGUAGGAUUAGCUAGUUGGCGUGGUAAAGGCGCACCAAGGCGACGAUCCUUAGCUGGUCUGAGAGGAUGAUCAGCCACACUGGGACUGAGACACGGCCCAGACUCCUACGGGAGGCAGCAGUGGGGAAUAUUGGACAAUGGGCGAAAGCCUGAUCCAGCAAUGCCGCGUGAGUGAUGAAGGCCUUAGGGUUGUAAAGCUCUUUUACCCGGGAUGAUAAUGACAGUACCGGGAGAAUAAGCUCCGGCUAACUCCGUGCCAGCAGCCGCCGUAA
rnacentral:rRNA from 1 species